ACGAGGGGAGAUCCAACCGUUGUACUGGACAGAGACUCCAUAGCACAGUACCGUAGAGUUUUUAAAUGAAAUCAUUAUAACGUGUCCAUUUUAAGAACAUCACCGUUCGAAAAUAGGCGCAGCUGAUAUCGUUUGUGAAUUCAUUUGCCGGCUCGUAUUUGGACCUUCUAACCGAGUUAUCUAUUGUCGGAACGGUUUCGUAAAAUAUUAUCGGGUAAUAUUAGUUAUCUCCGAUGCAAAAGGAAAAAAGCGAAAUGCUGAAAAAAAGAAAUAUUCGAAAGAUUCCGUCUUUUCGAGAUGAAUUGAAUCAGUCAAUAAAUGUAUAUAUAUACUAGUUUGUCAGGUUAGACGAUAAUGUCAAUGAUAAUUUGAACAUUCGAUAGUUUUAAUCAUUUGACUGGGUCGUUCGCAUGUUACGUAACGAUAGGAUCGCGUAUCGUAUACCGUUUUUCCUAUCGUGCACGUGUUGGAGAUGCCGCGACGCCGCUACAUGUACCAAAUGCAAUAGUUUCUUCGAAAAUAUUUACGACUAUGUCGUGAGCGGUAAAAACUUUGAACACAUCGUAUCGAAGCGUGUUGAUUCGCUGAUUAGGCGCUCCUUGUCACUGCACAACUGCACCUUGCGAUAAACAUUGACCCAAGAUUGUUAAGAACGAAUUCUGUCGAAUUACUGGCAUAUCUGCGACCGUUGGCGUUAUUCCGGUUCUGGUGAAUACAUAAACAUGAAAUGCAACUACAGACAUGUUAAGGACUACCUUGAACCGCCGCGGUUCGCAAGCAGUGAUCGUGAUGCAACGAAACGUGGAAAAAGUGGCGUGACAUCGAGUAUUCCAACGAAACGUUAGAGAGCACUGUUCGCAAACGAAUCGUUGCUAUGCCGUUAGAAAAAUGUUUCACGAUUAUUAUCGAAUUUAUAAAAUAACUACGUAUCCCGAUCAUAGAAUAAAGUAAACGCUGUUCUUGCUAUAAACGUCGCUUUCAUCGAUGCAACUAAUACGCGCUUAUGAAAAUAUAAUCGUUGUUUUGUUUCUACAACCUAUAGCUUGCACGAAUUAAAAUUGUGCAUUGAUUUACAAAGAAAUUAUUUGAUACACGACCGAUCGAUCGAGCAAAACCGAUUCUAUAAACUAUAAAGCAUAAAUGUUAAUGAACGUACCCCGAUUUACUGGCUUGCGUCGCUUCAAUCGAAUGAAUUCUUAACUUUGUCGCGAUAUCCUUCAAUUCCUGAAUGGUUUUCGAUUCCGGCUUAUGAUAGUUGGCCAUUUUGUCGUAUUCGAGAACUUGUAUAAGCCUGUUGAAAGCUUGGAAAAAUGCCGAUGCCGACCACGAUUCGUGCUUCCGAGCAACAAGUAGAAUUCGCGCAACCACGAUAAAAGUUGAAUAUAGAGAAGGCUCUCGACGGUCCGAGAAUUGUGUUUGUGAUAUUCCUUAAUCAUUAAUAGAUGGUUCUGCCUCUGUCUGUGCGUCAUUGUAGCGGGUGAUUUGAAUUAUAAAAGAAACCGUUUCAUCAUGGAUCCGCUAAUUGGACUUCUCAAUAAGACUGAUGACAUGUACAUAUACCUGCAUGUAUUACAGGUAUAAUAUAUCGAACUGAAUAUACUGUUAAACUCAAUUGGAGGUUUUAUGAUACAGUUUUGCAAACUAUUACUUUAAUAACAAAUUUAUUUGAUGUUUAGGAACAGGAUUCUUGACGUUACGCUAAUACGGUCGUUAUCGAAGUAUAAACGUACUGGUUCAUAAUUUUAUACGUAAUUAUUAAUGAAUUAUCGGACUAACUGUACGAUAAUCGUAAAUACGUAAAAGGUGCAAACCAAAAGUUACAAUAAAUUCGUACUGCCCUGACUA